AGAAAGAUGAGCUUGCUCAUUUUUCUUAGUGGCGGACGGGUGAGUAACACGUGAGCAACCUGCCUUUCAGAGGGGGAUAACGUUUGGAAACGAACGCUAAUACCGCAUAAAAUAUCUAUGUGGCAUCACAGGGAUAUCAAAGGAGCAAUCCGCUGAGAGAUGGGCUCGCGGCCGAUUAGAUAGUUGGCGGGGUAAGGGCCCACCAAGUCGACGAUCGGUAGCCGGACUGAGAGGUUGAACGGCCACAUUGGGACUGAGACACGGCCCAGACUCC
rnacentral:rRNA from 1 species